AGUAAUGUAUGGGGAUCUGCCUGAUGGCGGGGGAUAACUACUGGAAACGGUAGCUAAUACCGCAUAAUGUCUGCGGACCAAAGCGGGGGACCUCCGGGCCUCGCGCCAUCAGAUGAACCCAUAUGGGAUUAGCUAGUAGGUAAGGUAGCGGCUUACCUAGGCGACGAUCCCUAGCUGGUCUGAGAGGAUGAUCAGCCACACUGGGACUGAGACACGGCCCAG
rnacentral:rRNA from 1 species